AGAGGUGAAAUUGUUGGACCGCCGCCAGACAAACUACAGCGAAAGCAUUUGCCAAGGAUGUUUUCAUUGAUCUGGAGCGAAAGUUAGAGGUUCGAAGACGAUCAGAUACCGUCCUAGUUCUAACCAUAAACGAUGCCAACUGACGAUCCGUGGGGGUUCUAUUAUUGGCCCCGCGGGCAGUCCCCGGGAAACCCUUAAGUCUUUGGGCUCCGGGGGAAGUAUGGUUGCAAAGCUGAAACUUAAAGG
rnacentral:rRNA from 1 species